AGGAACCAUGUUGCAGAACUGGAAUUGAUACAAGAAUUGAGAUGAUACCAGAGUUUGGAUCUCCAGAACCCAGGUCUCCCCGGCCUUAAGGGAGAGCAAGGAGACAUGGUGGUGAUCAACUAUGAUGGCAGGAUCUUGGAUGUCCUGAAGGAAGGAGUGUUCCUGGUAGGCCCUGGAUGUGCCCUUGAUGUCCAUUCCUCAGGGAGUAAUGGCUCGCUUUGUAUAUUAUCCAAGGGGCUAAAGACAGCUUAGCACAGUAACCUCAAUUUCAUUAAGUGCCUGAAAUCAGUCCUGUUUGGAGACUACUGUGGCUGACCCAUGGAGCUCUGAGCUCCCCUGA